GGUAAAAUGGCCGAGUGCUUAGGCGGUAGGCUGUAGUCUUACUUAGAGGGGUUAAAUUCCUUUUUUUAUCA
rnacentral:tRNA from 1 species